rnacentral:rRNA from 1 species
UACGGAGGGGGCUAGCGUUGUUCGGAAUUACUGGGCGUAAAGCGCGCGUAGGCGGCUUUGUAAGUUAGAGGUGAAAGCCCGGAGCUCAACUCCGGAACUGCCUUUAAGACUGCAUCGCUAGAAUCAUGGAGAGGUGAGUGGAAUUCCGAGUGUAGAGGUGAAAUUCGUAGAUAUUCGGAGGAACACCGGUGGCGAAGGCGGGUCUCUGGGCCGAUACUGACGCUGAGGAGCGAAAGCGUGGGGAGCGAACAGG